GAGGCAGAGCAGGUUGUGGCGUGAUCCCUGGGUCGGGAUCAGGCCGGCCACGGCAGGCUGGCGGCGGCAGAGACCAUACGUGCCUGCCGGUCGCUCAUUAAAGAGAAGGAGACGAGACGAGACGAGAGGAGGGGGGACGAAGGAUUCUUUCUCCGAAAACAACUAUUUUUCCUUCCCGAUUCUCCUCGAUCGUCACUGGAGAUCACCGUUCGUCGCUGUUCAUCGAUGUUCACUGCCAUCCCCGCGGGUUUCGCCGUCGCCGCAUCAUCUCUCGUCGCUCUCGGUUCGGCCGCCGCAAGGAGUGCACCCCGGUCCUCGACCUCAGAGACUCGAAGCGGGGGUUCUUCAAGUCCGAAACCUGUGUUCACCUCCACAAGCUCAUACGGGAUUCAGAGAGAGCGGGAGACGCCACAAUCAGGAGAGACUGAGAUUUUGAGAAAAGAAAAGACUUUAAAAAGUUCAUUACCGACUCCCCACGGCGUCCCGCAGCAUCGUUCAUCGUCGCUUCUCGUUGUAGAUCGGUCCCGAAAGAUGUGCCGGCGACUCCCCUGUUCGACCUUGCCUUUUGGCUGAGUAGUCCAGCAAGCUUUGCGCACGAUUGAAGCUCCAUCACCGGUCCGUACCCCAGUUGGUGACGAACCUCUUAGCUGUCUCAAGCCACCCGUUCAUCGACUGCUAUCGGAGCCCUGUUUCGACAAGGAGUCUGUCGCCAAGUUGCUUUGAGUAUCUAAACACCAUUGAGAAAUCGCCCACGGUGUGUUUGUUAAAAUGCCCAAACCAGGUUAGCAUACAGUUUAUUCCGAUCCUGGACUAUUUGGAACACUUAUGAGCGUGUUUGUUUUCAUGAAAAGAAUCUUCCAUUGGAUAAUGAGCACCAUUUCAGUUAGAAUCUUUGGUUAAUGAAAUCGAAUCUGCACGUUGUCUUUUAUAUUUGUUUCCCGGUCGUUAUUGCGUUUGCUUUGAUGGUGGCUGACGGUGUUUUUCCGGCAUUGGGUUUUCCAUGUAAAAUCUUGGUGUUGUUGUUGCAUUUGUCUUUUUAUCAUUUAUGCAUUAUAUUUACUUAUUUGGAGGUUGUGUUGCUGAAAUAUAUUGUUGGUUGUUGCUGGGGUUAAGUCGAUUUCGGUUGGUUUAGUUUUGGGAAGAAAUUGAUCUUGGAUUGUGUUAGUUCUUGUUGAAUUGUUGCCCGAUUCUCUCCAACAAAGUGUUAUGAGAGCCGACAUGAGUAGUUAAAUUGAAUGGAGGAAAAUAGGGGGACAAUGUUUAAGUUAAAUGCCUCAAAUUACUCCAUUUGGAAGCCUCGAAUGGAAGACAUGUUAUAUCGCAGAGAUUUGUAUGAUCUCGUCAAUGGUGAUGAGGCUAAAGAAGACAAGGAAGAAAAAGAA